rnacentral:tRNA from 1 species
GCACCAGUGGUGUAGCGGUAACAUACUUCCCUUCCAUCAGUAAUGAUAGGAAGUGCUCUGGGUUCGACUCCCAGCUGGCGCA